AGUGAACGCUGGCGGUAGGCCUAACACAUGCAAGUCGAACGGCAGCACAGUAAGAGCUUGCUCUUACGGGUGGCGAGUGGCGGACGGGUGAGGAAUACAUCGGAAUCUACUUUUUCGUGGGGGAUAACGUAGGGAAACUUACGCUAAUACCGCAUACGUCCUACGGGUGAAAGCAGGGGAUCUUCGGACCUUGCGCGAUUGAAUGAGCCGAUGUCGGAUUAGCUAGUUGGCGGGGUAAAGGCCCACCAAGGCGACGAUCCGUAGCUGGUCUGAGAGGAUGUUCAGCCACACUGGAACUGAGACACGGUCCAGACUCCUACGGGAGGCAGCAGUGGGGAAUAUUGGACAAUGGGCGCAAGCCUGAUCCAGCCAUACCGCGUGGGUGAAGAAGGCCUUCGGGUUGUAAAGCCCUUUUGUUGGGAAAGAAAAGCAGCAGGUUAAUACCCCGCUGUUCUGACGGUACCCAAAGAAUAAGCACCGGCUAACUUCGUG
rnacentral:rRNA from 1 species